AAAAAAAAACUAAAUCCUAGAUUUCCUAGGUGAACUAAGUCACCUAACUAAUCUAUUAUAAAGAUAGAGUAAGCAAAAGAAAAAAAAAAACAAAACAAAAGAAAAAAAAAAAGAGGCAAAAAGGGUUCAGUAAGCUUCCCCGUAGCCCUUCCCCUUUUAUUUCUUCAUUCUUCUUCAUUCACCUUAUUCUCCAUCUAUCUUUUCUCUAAUUCUUGAUCCAACACCAUGAAUUUAUAAAUUUUGUUCAACUUUAUCACAAUUCAAACCUUCUUCUCAUCUAUCUUUUAUAUUACUUGAGUUUGUGGGUAUUUCAAAGAAGGAAAACUUGGCUCUUGAUCUAGUGAACGUUUGGGGCGAAAACCAGAUCAAAGGGGUGACUUUUGAGUCUUUUCUUGAGUAAUUUCAUUUCACUGUUCAAAUUCCGGAUUUAUAGAAGAAUCCUUCUGACUUGAGGUUGAGUUUGUUUGACUUUAUUGCUGAUAAGGGACUUGAAGAUAGUUAGCGCCAGUUGGGUUAAAGAGUGCGUUGGAUCCCUUUUGAUUUAAUAGGACUUUUAAAAAGACUUCCGCUGUUAUUCAUUUGAUUAUAAGAUUUAUGUUCUGGUUUGUAAUAAUUAUUUUACAUUCUAUUUAGUUGGUCUGUAAUAAUUAGUUAAAACUUUUGGUUAUUGUUUUAGUUAGAACCAUUAGCCUUGCAGUUAUUAUUAAUAAUUAUCGCGGCGUAGCACCUUUGGA